rnacentral:misc_RNA from 1 species
GGAAGGAUCAUUACCUUUUAUUCAGUAUGGGAGCCUACAGUCCGCUGUAGUUCCCUGUCUGUAUCCGUGUCUUUUGCGUACUUGAACGUUUCCUCGGCGGCUUACCCCGCCGAACGGACAACUAUAUAACCUUUUUUGCAAUUGCAAUCAGCGUCUGAACAAACACAAUAUUUACAACUUUCAACAACGGAUCUCUUGGUUCUGGCAUCGAUGAAGAACGCAGCGAAAUGCGAUAAGUAGUGUGAAUUGCAGAAUUCAGUGAAUCAUCGAAUCUUUGAACGCACAUUGCGCCCCUUGGUAUUCCAUGGGGCAUGCCUGUUCGAGCGUCAUUUGUACCCUCAAGCUCUGCUUGGUGUUGGGUGUUUGUUGGGGGGAAGUGCCUCGGCACCUCUGCCCGACUCGCCUUAAAUGUAUUGGCAGCCGGCGUAUUGGCUUAUGAGCGCAGCACAUUUUGCGAUUGUAGCCGCUAUUCUGGCGUCCAGCAAGCCUAAAUUAUCACUUUUGACCUCGGAUCAGGUAGGGAUACCCGCUGAACUUAAGCAUAUCAAUAAGCGGAGGAAAAGAAACCAACAGGGAUUGCCCUAGUAACGGCGAGUGAAGCGGCAACAGCUCAAAUUUGAAAUCUGGCUCUUUUAGAGUCCGAGUUGUAAUUUGCAGAGGGCGCUUUGGCGUCGGCAGCGGUCCAAGUUCUUUGGAACAGGACGUCACAGAGGGUGAGAAUCCCGUACGUGGUCGCUAGCCUUCGCCGUGUAAAGCCCCUUCGACGAGUCGAGUUGUUUGGGAAUGCAGCUCUAAAUGGGAGGUAAAUUUCUUCUAAAGCUAAAUACUGGCCAGAGACCGAUAGCGCACAAGUAGAGUGAUCGAAAGAUGAAAAGCACUUUGGAAAGAGAGUCAAACAGCACGUGAAAUUGUUGAAAGGGAAGCGCUUGCAGCCAGACUUGCCUGUAGUUGCUUACCUAGACUUUUGUCUGGGGCACUCUUCUGCAGGCAGGCCAGCAUCAGUUUGGGCGGUUGGAUAAAGGUCUCUGUCAUGUACCUCUCUUCGGGGAGGCCUUAUAGGGGAGACGACAUACAACCAGCCUGGACUGAGGUCCGCGCAUCUGCUAGGAUGCUGGCGUAAUGGCUGUAAGCGGCCCGUCUUGAAACACGGACCAAGGAGUCUAACAUCUAUGCGAGUGUUUGGGUGUCAAGCCCAGACGCGUAAUGAAAGUGAACGGAGGUGGGAACCCUUUGGGUGCACCAUCGACCGAUCCUGAUGUCUUCGGAUGGAUUUGAGUAAGAGCAUGGCUGUUGGGACCCGAAAGAUGGUGAACUAUGCUUGAAUAGGGUGAAGCCAGAGGAAACUCUGGUGGAGGCUCGCAGCGGUUCUGACGUGCAAAUCGAUCGUCAAAUUUGGGCAUAGGGGCGAAAGACUAAUCGAACUAUCUAGUAGCUGGUUCCUGC